rnacentral:rRNA from 1 species
UACAGAGGGGGCAAGCGUUGUUCGGAAUUACUGGGCUUAAAGGGUUUGUAGGCGGCCAUGUAAGUCAGGUGUGAAAUCCCUCGGCUCAACCGAGGAACGGCGCUUGAUACUGCAUGGCUUGAGGGAGACAGGGGUAAGCGGAACUGAUGGUGGAGCGGUGAAAUGCGUUGAUAUCAUCAGGAACACCGGUGGCGAAGGCGGCUUCCUGGACCGACACUGACGCUGAGGCGCGAAAGCUAGGGGAGCAAACGGG